UACGGGGGGGGCAAGCGUUGUUCGGAAUUACUGGGCGUAAAGGGCUCGUAGGCGGCCAACUAAGUCAGACGUGAAAUCCCUAGGCUCAACCUAGGAACUGCGUCUGAUACUGGAUGGCUUGAAUCCGGGAGAGGGAUGCAGAAUUCCAGGUGUAGCGGUGAAAUGCGUAGAUAUCUGGAGGAAUACCGGUGGCGAAGGCGGGUCUCUGGGCCGAUACUGACGCUGAGGAGCGAAAGCAUGGGGAGCGAACAGG
rnacentral:rRNA from 1 species